rnacentral:rRNA from 1 species
AUACGUAGGUGGCAAGCGUUGUCCGGAUUUAUUGGGCGUAAAGCGAGCGCAGGCGGUCUCUUAAGUCUGAUGUGAAAGCCCCCGGCUCAACCGGGGAGGGUCAUUGGAAACUGGGAGACUUGAGUGCAGAAGAGGAGAGUGGAAUUCCCUGUGUAGCGGUGAAAUGCGUAGAUAUAUGGAGGAACACCAGUGGCGAAGGCGGCUCUCUAGUCUGUAACUGACGCUGAGGCUCGAAAGCGUGGGGAGCAAACAGGAUUAGAUACCCUGGUAGUCCACGCCGUAAACGAUGAGUGCUAAGUGUUGGAGGGUUUCCGCCCUUCAGUGCUGCAGCUAACGCAUUAAGCACUCCGCCUGGGGAGUACGGCCGCAAGGCUGAAACUCAAAUGAAUUGACGGGG